rnacentral:rRNA from 1 species
UGGGGAAUUUUGGACAAUGGGGGAAACCCUGAUCCAGCCAUCCCGCGUGUGCGAUGAAGGCCUUCGGGUUGUAAAGCACUUUUGGCAGGAAAGAAGCGUCGCGGGUUAAUACCCCGCGAAACUGACGGUACCUGCAGAAUAAGCACCGGCUAACUACGUGCCAGCAGCCGCGGUAAUACGUAGGGUGCAAGCGUUAAUCGGAAUUACUGGGCGUAAAGCGUGCGCAGGCGGUUCGGAAAGAAAGAUGUGAAAUCCCAGAGCUUAACUUUGGAACUGCAUUUUUAACUACCGGGCUAGAGUGUGUCAGAGGGAGGUGGAAUUCCGCGUGUAGCAGUGAAAUGCGUAGAUAUGCGGAGGAACACCGAUGGCGAAGGCAGCCUCCUGGGAUAACACUGACGCUCAUGCACGAAAGCGUGGGGGAGCAAACAGGAUUAGAUACCCUGGUAGUCCACGCCCUAAACGAUGUCAACUAGCUGUUGGGGCCUUCGGGCCUUGGUAGCGCAGCUAACGCGUGAAGUUGACCGCCUGGGGAGUNCGGUCGCAAGAUUAAAACUUAAAUGAAUUGACGGGGGUCAUAGCUG